AGAGAUGUCCAUGAUUCGCGACAUAGGAAAACGAAGUUUUGGUUUUAGAGCUAACUAUGGCACCAUGGAACUUGUAAGAUAUUAAGACAAGAACUCGAAGCUUUGGAAGAGUUCCCAACCAAUGGGGAAACUCACCACUAAUUGUGUUGUUACCAACAUCAAGAACUUCCAAAUCUUUACAGUUAAGCAAAGAAUGUGGUAACGGUCCCUCCAAUUGGUUCCCAUUCAAGCUAAGAAUCCUUAAGCUUUCACAAUUGGCAAAUUUUGUAGGGAUUACCCCCUGCAAGUUGUUCAUCCACAAAUCUGAAACCGUCAAAUAGUAGCUGAGUUUUCCCAAAACAAUGUGGAAUUUUGCCAUUCAACCUGUUGAUAGACAAGUCAAGAAUUAUCAUAUCACUGUUGUUGCAGAUUGAAAAAGGAAUCUCUCCGGUCAACUUAUUGUUUGAAAGUAAAACAUAUCCUGACCACAACACUGCAUCAGGAAGUGAUCCUUGGAGCAAAUUUUAGUGGAUGUCAAAGUAUAGAUAACCUCUGCCACGGAAAUCCUUGGAAACUUGUCAGAAAGUUGUGCGAAAGAUUCAGAUAUGUCAACGAAGCCUCUCCAAGUCCCCAAAAACAAUCUGGAAGAGGCCCCUGAAUUUUGCUGCUGGAAAGAUCUAGAUGCUGCAAAAACUUUGAAUCUUUCAAGAAUGUUGGGAUUUCUCUUAAGUUGCAUGAGGACAAACUUAGAUAAGUAAACAUAGGGAAGGAAAAUUUUUCGUUGCUACUAGGAAGGCUCAAGGACAAGCUUUUGUACGACAGACCAAGAUCCCUAAGUUCCUUGAGUUCUGAAAUCAUCUCUGUAUCAAAAAUGCCGGUCAUGUUAUUUGAUGAAAGAAUGAGACCAGUUAGGUGCACAAGCCCAAAGAGUGACCUUGGAAUUGGGCCGUGGAGCUUGUUGUUACUUAAAUCAACGUAGGACAACUGUGAUUUAUUCACGUGAAAGUCAUCAAUAUGGCCUAGACCUGUCCAUGGGCCGGCCCAGAAAAAAUUUUUGGCCCGCCUCUUAGGCCCGGGCCCAGCCCUGCUCGGCCCGAAAUAUGGGCCUAAAAUUUUGCUCAAGCCCGGCCCGGCCCGAUUUUUUAUAAACACAAAAAAUAUUUUAAAAAUAAAAAAUAAAAAUAUUUUAAAGUAUUUUAAAUUAAAAAAUAAAAAUAAAAAAUAUAUAUUUAUUAUAUUCGGGCCAGGCCGGGCCGGGCUUGGGCCAAAAAAGUUGAGCCCGAUCCCGGCCCAUUUUUUAAAUGGGCCUCAUUUUUUUGCCUAAGCCCAUAUUUCGGGCCUAUAUUUUUACCCGAACUCUCCCAUAUUUCGGCCGGGCCGUCGGGCCGGGCCGCCCGGCCCAUGGACAGGGCUAAUAUGGCCAUCAAGAUGAUUAUAACUAAGAUCCAAGUAUUCUAAUGAUGGGAGGAUAGAAAGCAAGGAAGAUGGGGUUUUUUUACAAAAUUAUUAUAAAAAAAUAAAAAAUAACUAAAAUGUUAGGCUUUUAAAGCUUUUAAGGUUUCACAAUUUUUUUUAUUUAUCAAAAUAUACCAAAAAAAAUAAAAACCUAUAAAAAAAACUUGACAACAGCCUGAACAGGCCAAUCACAUUGGCGGCACCAAAGGUGCCAAAGUGAUUGGCCUGACCAAAGUGCCAAAGAGAUUGGCCUGGCCGGACUAAAAUGUAACUCUCUGCAGUUUCAAGGACCUGACAUGAAAUUUACUAUUUUGAAUUUUGAAAGUGAAUUGCUGCCGCUGUGCGUGUGGUACGCACUAAAAUUAAAAUGUGGCUAAUUACCUUCUAAGCCCUCCUUAUUUAUUAUUUUCUUUUUAUUCCCCUUCAACUCACUUUUUUAUUUAAUAAACAAGCCCUCAACCUAUUUUUGUAGUUAAAUAAGCUCUUAAUCUAUGAUUUUUACUCAUAAAAGCCCUUUAUUUUAUUAUUAAAGUAAAUAUAUUUUACCUAAAGUAAAGUUAUUUAAAAAAGAAUAAACUAAUUCGCAUUUUAUGUAUUAUUUUGGUAAUUUGAUGAGAAUAGUUUAUUAAAUAAAAAAAUUUGCUAAAUUUGAUGAGAAUAGUUUAUAAUUAUAAUUUAUUUUUUCUACUUGGGUUACAUUUAUGGGUGAUCAGUUUUAUUAUUACUUCUGAUUUUUCAUUAAGGCAUGCCUGGUAUUUCUAUUAAUUUUUUUAAUUAAAUCUAAUAUUAGUUAAGUGAUAAUUAAGAUACUUAGAAUUCUAAUUAAGUAAUAACUCUAUUUUACUUUAAUAAACUAUUCUCAUCAAAUUACCAAAAUUUAUAAUAUUAGUUAAGUGAUAAUUAAGAUACUUAGAAUUCUAAUUAAGUAAUAACUCUAUUUUACUUUAAUAAACUAUUGCUUUUAGGCUUAGUUUAGUAAUGUUUCAAAAAAUGUUUUUAGGAAAAAAAUGUUUUUAAGGAGAAGUAAAAAUUUAUGAGUAAAAAUCAUAGAUUAAGAGCUUUUACGAGUAAAAAUUUAGGAGAAGUAAAAUUUAUUUACUUUAAUAAUAAAAUAAAGGGCUUUUAUGAGUAAAAAUCAUAGAUUAAGAGCUUAUUUAACUACAAAAAUAGGUUGAGGGCUUGUUUAUUAAAUAAAAAAGUGAGUUGAAGGGGAAUAAAAAGAAAAUAAUAAAUAAGGAGGGCUUAGAAGGCAAUUAGUCAUAUUUUAAUUUUAGUACGCCUCACGCACAGUGGCAAUUCACUUUCAAAAUUCAAAAUGGUAAAUUUGCAUGUCAGGUCCUUGAAACUGCAGAGAGUUACAUUUUAGUCCGGUCAGGCUAAUCUUUGGCACCUUUGGUGCCGCCAAUCACUUUGGCACCUUUGGUGCCGCCAAUGUGAUUGGCUUGAUCAGGCUGUUGUCAGGUUUUUUUUUUGCAGGUUUUUUUUUUUGUUUUGAUAUAUUUUGGUAAAUAAAAAAUUUUAUAAUAUUUUGGUAAAUAAAAAAAAAAGAUAACAUUUUGGUUAUUUUUUAUUUUUUUAUAAUAAUUUUAUAAAAAAACCCAAGGAAGAUGGUAUUGUUUCGGUGAGCAAGUUAAAAGCUAAGUUAAGAGAAACCAAGCUUGAAUGGCUAUUUACGGUUGUUGGAAUAGGACCCGUCAGUUGGUUAUUUGAAAAGUCCACUAAGACAAGCUGUGUCAAGUUGAAUAAAGAAAAUGGUAACUGACCACUGAAAUUGUUACCAUCAAGAGUUAAAGAAGUAAGAUGUUCAAGUUUGCCAAGUGAAAAGGGGAGCUCACCAAUGAAGUUUUGGUCGGAGAGGUGAAUAUCGGUGAUUUGUGUAAGGUUUCCAAUUGAUGCUGGAAUAGAUCCUGCGAAAGAACCUGUUAGAUACAGGGACUUGAGGGAUACUAAGUUGCCAAUGGAGUCAGGUAAUUCUCCUGUGCCUUCAACAUUCAAAUCUUCCAAAAACUUCAAACUCCCAAUAGAAUUUGGUAAUCCUCCUGAGAAUCUUGUGCCUAUUACAUCCAAGAAUUUGAGGAGACUAGUCCAAUUAGACUUGGGAAAAUGACCUCUGAUUUGAGGAUUAGAUGAUAGCUGGAUUGAUUGCAAGUUUGGUAAUUGGAAUAAACCAAACGGAAAUUAUCCUCCAUGAGCUUCACCCAAAUAACACGUUUCUAGAUGGAGAGACACCAAAUAAGAAGACAAAUUGGCUAGAGUAAGAGGAGCAACAUGAGACAUGUCUACCCCACUGAACAUUACAUCCCUUAAAGUAGUCAUGUUUUGAACCAAUCUCUUCAUAGCAAGAUUUUGCAAGUACAAAUCAUUGCCAGAGAGAUCAAGAGAAACAAGUUUGGAUAAAUGAGAUAUUUCUUGUGGGACUAAACCAGAAAGACCAGAAUAGGAUAAAUGGAGAUGUGUCAAACUAGCUAACUGCAAGAUUGUCGAAGGGAUUUUAGACAUGCAAAAGUAAUUGUGAGCCAGGUUAAGCCAUUGAAGAUGAGAAAGAAGGAAAAGACAUGCGUGGUAACCCUCACGACAACAUCCCACUGAGAGUAGAAGUCUUUUUGUCCCACAUAUUGCAGUCCCGUAAUUCAUUUCUACCUACACUCAACACAGCUUUCAAAUUCUUGAAGAACCUCGUAGGCAAGGAGCCUAUGAAUUCAUUGUGAGAGAUGUCCAUGAUUCGCAACAUAGGGAACGAAGUUUAGGCUUUAGAGCUAACUAUGGCACCAUGGAGCUUGUUAGAUCUUAAGACAAGAACUCAAAGCUUUGGAAGAGUUCCCAACCAAUGGGGAAACGCGCCGCUAAUUUUGUUGUUACCAACAUCAAGAACUUGUAAUUCUUUGCAGUUAAGCAAAGACUGCGG
rnacentral:lncRNA from 1 species